rnacentral:lncRNA from 1 species
AAAUGUGUUUUGGGGGUAAAAUAUUUUGAUUUUCUUCCUUGCCAUGCCAGAGUCAGAUGGGAAAGUAAGUCACGAUCUACGGGGUUAAAUAAAACCCAUCUGAUGAGAAUGUAUUAUGGUUUGUAUGACAUGACUCCCCCCCAGACCCCUUAGAUAGGAAUUUAGGCAAGAUUAAAAAAAAAAAAAAUCAGAGCUUCGUCCUCACACUCUGUCUCAAAAAACAAACAAACAAACAAACAAAAAAUACAAAUGCCAACAGUCUUCUUGUUUAGAAGUCAUGCAAACCAGAAUUCAGAGAGUGAUCUGUUUUAAGUGCUGAAAGGUAAACCAACAAUCAACAAACAAAAUCUGUCUGCCUGGAAUAACAUACCAGUGAAAAUGCCUUUUAAAGUAAAGCAGAAACAAAGGCUGACAUCAUCAGAAAUGGAGAGAAUUCAGACAGCCAAAUGUGAACCCAGAAAAUCUGAGACAGGGCUCAGUUAAUUUUUAUUUUAUUUUAAAGACUGAGUCUUGCUCUGUUGCCCAGGCUGGAGUGCAGUGGUGUGAUC